AAACUUAAAGGAAUUGACGGGGCCGCACAAGCGGUGAGCAUGUGGUUAAUUCGACGCAACGCGAAGGACCUUACCAGGGCUUGACAUCCCCUGACCGCGUAUGAAAGUACGUUUUCACCCUCGGGUGACAGGGAGACAGGUGGUGCAUGGUUGUCGUCAGCUCGUGUCGUGAGAUGUUGGGUUAAGUCCCGCAACGAGCGCGACCCCUACGUUUAGUUGCUAACGCGUGAAGGCGAGCACUCUAGACGAACUGCCGUUGACAAAACGGAGGAAGGUGGGGAUGACGUCAAAUCAUCAUGCCCCUUAUGUUCUGGGCUACACACGUGCUACAAUGGCCGGUACAGACGGACGCAAAGCCGCGAGGUGGAGCAAAUCCUAAAAAGCCGGUCUCAGUUCGGAUUGCAGGCUGCAAUUCGCCUGCAUGAAGUCGGAAUCGCUAGUAAUCGCAGGUCAGCAUACUGCGGUGAAUACGUUCCCGGGCCUU
rnacentral:rRNA from 1 species